GACGAACGCUGGCGGCGUGCCUAAUACAUGAAAGUCGAACGAGUGGCGGACGGGUGAGUAAUGUCUGGGAAACUGCCUGACGGAGGGGGAUAACUACUGGAAACGGUAGCUAAUACCGCAUACCAUCAGAUGUGCCCAGAUGGGAUUAGGCAGUUGGUGGGGUAACGGCUCACCAAGGCGCUGAUCCCUAGCUGGUCUGAGAAACUUCCCUGCCCCACUGGAACUGAGACACGGUCCAACCUCAUCCCUUCUUCCCCCUUCCUCCCUCUUACUCCCUCCACGCAAGCCUUCUUCAGCCAUGCCGCGUGUAGUAUGAUUACCUUCGUCUUCUCCAGUACUUUCAGCGGGGAGGCGUGACCCGCAGAAGAAGCACCGGCUAACUCCGUGCCAGCAGCCGCGGUAAUA
rnacentral:rRNA from 1 species